CUUUUUUCUUUUUCUUUUUUUAAUUACCAUGUGGAUACCGAAACUCAUUAUGGAAAAAAAAAAAGAAAGAAAGAAAUCAGAGUGUCUGGGCCCCUCACUUAGUGUUGGACACCUUUUUUUCUUAUGGGGAAGGCACUGACACCAUUGCCCCAUGUUCUCUGCCACAUACACUUUGUCAAGAAACAGAGAAGUGACAAACCUCCCUAAAUCUCCAUAUGGAGCCUCUCACAAAAGUUUGUCCCACAGAACUACAAGAGCUCUGUAAAUUAUAUUACUCGUGCCUCCCUAAAGAUAACUGGCUAAUGCUGAAGCUGGCUGAGAAGCUGGAAGUAUUAUUGUGCAUCAUGGCCUUCCUGGGGUACAGCCUGAAUAAAAAGUCCCACACAGCAUAACUCUGUCAGAGUCAGCAACCUUUUGCUGGAAGAGGACUCAGAUAGAACUUCAAAGGCCUCAGGAAAUGAUAGUGUUUCUCACUAGCUGAAGUGUGCAAGCUAGCACAAAAU
rnacentral:lncRNA from 1 species